GGAGGGUGCAGCUCAGUGGUAGAGUGCAUGCCUAGCAUGCAUGAGGUCCUGGGUUCAAUCCCCAGUCCCUCCA
rnacentral:tRNA from 1 species